GCUCGCAACAGGCACACCCUUGAGAAUCCCGGCCCCCUGGCACCAGGUCUGGCCUGAUACUAGGUUACUGGGGUGGCCCAAGCCCUGCGCCAAAAACCCCAGGCCCCCCCGCCCCACCCGGGGGCUUCGCGGAUUCCGACGGGCUGUGGUAUCCACCGUCCACCAGGACACUGCGGGGGCCUCGUCCCAAGAGGAGGAGUAUUUAUCUGUAUUCAUGUGUCAGGCACACAUCGACCUGGGCCUCCUUCUGGUUCCAAGAACACUUGUAAACCAAGUGGUCUUCGACCUGCCCAUGGAGCAGGUGGAAGAGAUUCUAGGUGAGUUCUAGGCGGGGCACGCUCCACCCGGCCCUCUCGGGCAAGCUUCUCCACCUCCCGCGCUCCCGGCCGCGGGUACAGUCGUUUACCCGCGCCCAGAGCAGUCCGGCCUGCUCCCUCCCCGUUGGGCUCACAACCCAGGCGCCAAAUCCUGCACUUCAAGCAACUGACCGAGAUCCCGCUGCAAAUGCAGACUCUGGACCCCAUGGGCCUGGCCGGGAUCUUGAUUUUCCUGCCGCCCUAGCGACAAGUUCAGUCCACUGUCCUUGGCAGAAGGAGGCAACUGCUCCUCGCCGGAACGUGGGAAAGGGCUGCGUGCUUCAGGCCUCUGGGCAAGUUCGAGGACGAGGACAGAUGAUCUCCAUGAUGAUAGAACAAAAAGGGCAAGCAGAUCUUGCAACACAGUUGACCAUGAAGACAGAGAAGCAAUCUCCAAGCAGUGAAGAUCUGGGUUUUCAGCCAUCCCUGAAUUCACCUACCUCCAGCACAUGAGAGAAUGGUCAAAAGCAGGGACCAGGAGUUUAAAUAUACAGACAACGGCCAGACCAAAUAUAAAAACAGAAUUCUGAUUCACAUUCUGCAGCACUCAGUCCAGGAAGGCAAACAAUGCCUAUGACAAUCAACACAAGAGGCCAGGACUUGAUUAAUGACUGACAGCUUCACUCAUUUUCCUUUAGGAUCAACUGAGACCCAGCUGGGAAAGUCAAAUAUGCACCCCUACUCAAUCACAUACAAUGCUCUGCUUCCAGUUAGCCUACCUACAGUUUCCCCAGGCCAACACCUCUUCCUUCAGGCAUACCUUUUUUCCAUUUUAUAUAAACUUUUCCCUCUCCUCUGCCUGCUUUUGAGACUCUGCCAACACAAAUGAUGGUAGCUAACUCCCUUGCUAUAGCAACCUCUUAAUAAAAAGCCUUCACUUGUUCCCAUUUGGGUGAUCUUUAUUUUCCCACAAGAUAAUCCAUGAGUUGAUAUUUUUUGAAGUUGUGGGACUAGUAUUAUUGAUCAUUCAUUUAUGCUAUCCUCUCUACCUUUGUAUAUGUUUGAAAUUUCCCACAAUAAAAAAUUUAAAAUAUUUCAAAAAUGUCAGGGUCAUUAAACAAUAACAACAGCAGAGACUGAUUCUAUAUUAGCUAAAAGUACAUUAUCGGAAAAAAACUGGGAAAUCGAAGUUGGAUCAUAUAUUAGACAAGAGGUUAGACUAAUGUUAAAUUUUCUGAGUGAACAAUUUUACAUGGUUACAUAGGAGAAUGUCCUUGCUUUUAAGAGGUAAUGAUGAAAUACUUAAGAUAAAGUCAUGAUGCCUGCCACUUACAGACAUUCCAUGAAAAAGGUCAAGAGAGAAAAUAAACAAAACAUUAACAACUGGUGAAACUCAAUGAAAGGUAC
ensembl:lncRNA